GGUUAAGCGACUAAGCGUACACGGUGGAUGCCCUGGCAGUCAGAGGCGAUGAAGGACGUGCUAAUCUGCGAUAAGCGUCGGUAAGGUGAUAUGAACCGUUAUAACCGGCGAUUUCCGAAUGGGGAAACCCAGUGUGUUUCGACACACUAUCAUUAACUGAAUCCAUAGGUUAAUGAGGCGAACCGGGGGAACUGAAACAUCUAAGUACCCCGAGGAAAAGAAAUCAACCGAGAUUCCCCCAGUAGCGGCGAGCGAACGGGGAGCAGCCCAGAGCCUGAAUCAGUGUGUGUGUUAGUGGAAGCGUCUGGAAAGGCGCGCGAUACAGGGUGACAGCCCCGUACACAAAAAUGCACAUACUGUGAGCUCGAUGAGUAGGGCGGGACACGUGGUAUCCUGUCUGAAUAUGGGGGGACCAUCCUCCAAGGCUAAAUACUCCUGACUGACCGAUAGUGAACCAGUACCGUGAGGGAAAGGCGAAAAGAACCCCGGCGAGGGGAGUGAAAAAGAACCUGAAACCGUGUACGUACAAGCAGUGGGAGCACGCUUCGGCGUGUGACUGCGUACCUUUUGUAUAAUGGGUCAGCGACUUAUAUUCUGUAGCAAGGUUAACCGAAUAGGGGAGCCGAAGGGAAACCGAGUCUUAACUGGGCGUUAAGUUGCAGGGUAUAGACCCGAAACCCGGUGAUCUAGCCAUGGGCAGGUUGAAGGUUGGGUAACACUAACUGGAGGACCGAACCGACUAAUGUUGAAAAAUUAGCGGAUGACUUGUGGCUGGGGGUGAAAGGCCAAUCAAACCGGGAGAUAGCUGGUUCUCCCCGAAAGCUAUUUAGGUAGCGCCUCGUGAAUUCAUCUCCGGGGGUAGAGCACUGUUUCGGCAAGGGGGUCAUCCCGACUUACCAACCCGAUGCAAACUGCGAAUACCGGAGAAUGUUAUCACGGGAGACACACGGCGGGUGCUAACGUCCGUCGUGAAGAGGGAAACAACCCAGACCGCCAGCUAAGGUCCCAAAGUCAUGGUUAAGUGGGAAACGAUGUGGGAAGGCCCAGACAGCCAGGAUGUUGGCUUAGAAGCAGCCAUCAUUUAAAGAAAGCGUAAUAGCUCACUGGUCGAGUCGGCCUGCGCGGAAGAUGUAACGGGGCUAAACCAUGCACCGAAGCUGCGGCAGCGACACUAUGUGUUGUUGGGUAGGGGAGCGUUCUGUAAGCCUGUGAAGGUGUGCUGUGAGGCAUGCUGGAGGUAUCAGAAGUGCGAAUGCUGACAUAAGUAACGAUAAAGCGGGUGAAAAGCCCGCUCGCCGGAAGACCAAGGGUUCCUGUCCAACGUUAAUCGGGGCAGGGUGAGUCGACCCCUAAGGCGAGGCCGAAAGGCGUAGUCGAUGGGAAACAGGUUAAUAUUCCUGUACUUGGUGUUACUGCGAAGGGGGGACGGAGAAGGCUAUGUUGGCCGGGCGACGGUUGUCCCGGUUUAAGCGUGUAGGCUGGUUUUCCAGGCAAAUCCGGAAAAUCAAGGCUGAGGCGUGAUGACGAGGCACUACGGUGCUGAAGCAACAAAUGCCCUGCUUCCAGGAAAAGCCUCUAAGCAUCAGGUAACAUUAAAUCGUACCCCAAACCGACACAGGUGGUCAGGUAGAGAAUACCAAGGCGCUUGAGAGAACUCGGGUGAAGGAACUAGGCAAAAUGGUGCCGUAACUUCGGGAGAAGGCACGCUGAUAUGUAGGUGAAGUCCCUCGCGGAUGGAGCUGAAAUCAGUCGAAGAUACCAGCUGGCUGCAACUGUUUAUUAAAAACACAGCACUGUGCAAACACGAAAGUGGACGUAUACGGUGUGACGCCUGCCCGGUGCCGGAAGGUUAAUUGAUGGGGUUAGCGGUAACGCGAAGCUCUUGAUCGAAGCCCCGGUAAACGGCGGCCGUAACUAUAACGGUCCUAAGGUAGCGAAAUUCCUUGUCGGGUAAGUUCCGACCUGCACGAAUGGCGUAAUGAUGGCCAGGCUGUCUCCACCCGAGACUCAGUGAAAUUGAACUCGCUGUGAAGAUGCAGUGUACCCGCGGCAAGACGGAAAGACCCCGUGAACCUUUACUAUAGCUUGACACUGAACAUUGAGCCUUGAUGUGUAGGAUAGGUGGGAGGCUUUGAAGUGUGGACGCCAGUCUGCAUGGAGCCGACCUUGAAAUACCACCCUUUAAUGUUUGAUGUUCUAACGUUGACCCGUAAUCCGGGUUGCGGACAGUGUCUGGUGGGUAGUUUGACUGGGGCGGUCUCCUCCUAAAGAGUAACGGAGGAGCACGAAGGUUGGCUAAUCCUGGUCGGACAUCAGGAGGUUAGUGCAAUGGCAUAAGCCAGCUUGACUGCGAGCGUGACGGCGCGAGCAGGUGCGAAAGCAGGUCAUAGUGAUCCGGUGGUUCUGAAUGGAAGGGCCAUCGCUCAACGGAUAAAAGGUACUCCGGGGAUAACAGGCUGAUACCGCCCAAGAGUUCAUAUCGACGGCGGUGUUUGGCACCUCGAUGUCGGCUCAUCACAUCCUGGGGCUGAAGUAGGUCCCAAGGGUAUGGCUGUUCGCCAUUUAAAGUGGUACGCGAGCUGGGUUUAGAACGUCGUGAGACAGUUCGGUCCCUAUCUGCCGUGGGCGCUGGAGAACUGAGGGGGGCUGCUCCUAGUACGAGAGGACCGGAGUGGACGCAUCACUGGUGUUCGGGUUGUCAUGCCAAUGGCACUGCCCGGUAGCUAAAUGCGGAAGAGAUAAGUGCUGAAAGCAUCUAAGCACGAAACUUGCCCCGAGAUGAGUUCUCCCUGACCCUUUAAGGGUCCUGAAGGAACGUUGAAGACGACGACGUUGAUAGGCCGGGUGUGUAAGCGCAGCGAUGCGUUGAGCUAACCGGUACUAAUGAACCGUGAGGCUUAACCUU
rnacentral:rRNA from 1 species